UACGUAGGGUGCAGGCGUUAAUCGGAAUUACUGGGCGUAAAGCGUGCGCAGGCGGUCUUUUAAGUCAGAUGUGAAAUCCCCGGGCUUAACCUGGGAACUGCGUUUGAAACUGGUCGACUUGAGUUCGGGAGAGGGAAGCGGAAUUCCGGGUGUAGCGGUGAAAUGCGUAGAUAUCAGGAGGAACACGGUGGCGAAGGCGGGCUACCCUGGACAGAGUCUGACGCUGAGGCACGAAAGCUAGGGGAGCAAACAGGAUAG
rnacentral:rRNA from 1 species